GAAAAUCUGCAUAUGUUAAAAAAGCUGAUUAUACCAUGUUUUGUUCAGGCUUACACAAACAUGUUUCAGCAAGUGUAUGGAGAGCAGGUACAAAGAAUCUGAGCUGAAUAUGGGUGAAAAUAGCUGUAUUGACCGAUGUGUCUCAAAAUACUGGCAGGUGACUAACCUGGUUGGUCAGCUGCUCGGUGCAAAUAAACCUUCACUUUAAAGAAUUUUCUCCUUAAGUUUUCCAAAUUUCCAUGGAACAACACUAUAUUGCUCUAAACAUUAUGACCUGAAUAAUAACAUGCCACUGCCCUUAUUGAAAUGCUGAAAUUUUGUUUCAGUUCUUUAUUAGACUUAUUUAUACAAGAUAUUGGUUAUAAAUAAAAUGUGAAGGAAUUGUCUUUCUUUCGAGUUUGAGUUAUUUGAUUUUCUGCGAUUUUAGUAGGUUGAUUCAACCUUAGACCCUAUAAUGUAUAACCGUUAUAGGGUAUAGGUUUGAGCAAUGAGACAAAGUUCGAGAAGAUUCUCAAUUUGAGUAUGUUUAUUUUCUUCAUUAUCAAAAUUUUAUUAGAAAUUUAAGAUAUAUAUUUUUAAUUAUGAAUCAAAUGAUUGUGUGAUUCUUGGCUUUUAAUGGCAUCAUUUGUA